CGCUGGCGGCGUGCCUAACAUAUGCAAGUCGAGCGGAGUUAACAAGAGGAAGUUUCGGAUGGAAUUUGUAAUUAGCGGCGGACGGGUGAGUAACGCGUGAGCGACCAACCUUGCACAGGGGGAUAACGGACCGAAAGGUUCACUAAUACCGCAUGAGACCACGGUGUUGCAUGACACAGGGGUCAAAGGAGCAAUCCGGUGCAAGACGGGCUCGCGUCCGAUUAGGUAGUUGGAGGGGUAACGGCCCACCAAGCCUAUGAUCGGUAGCCGACCUGAGAGGGUGAUCGGCCACAUUGGAACUGAGAUACGGUCCAAACUCCUACGGGAGGCAGCAGUGGGGAAUAUUGGGCCAAUGGGGGAAACCCUGACCCAGCAACGCCGCGUGAAGGAAGAAGGUUUUCGGAUUGUAAACUUCUGUCCUUGGUGAAGAGAAGAAGACGGUAGCCAAGGAGGAAGCCCCGGCUAACUACGUGCCAGCCGCCGC
rnacentral:rRNA from 1 species